rnacentral:misc_RNA from 1 species
AAGUCGUAACAAGGUUUCCGUAGGUGAACCUGCGGAAGGAUCAUUAUUGAAGUCUGUCUGAGGUUGCUGCUGGCUCUCCGGAGCACUGUGCACGCCUUGGCUCUCUAUCUCAUUCACCUGUGCACCUCUUGUAGUCUCGAGUGACUUUUGACCUUUGCCGUCAGCUUGGAUGAUCGCCCGUAAAAAAGGCUUUCCAGUCCUAUCAGCUCGAGUUCUAUGUUUAAUCACAAACUCAUCAUAACCAACCUCAGAAUGUCAACGGUCUGCCUUCACUGGCCGACUUUAAACUAUAAAUACAACUUUCAACAACGGAUCUCUUGGCUCUC